rnacentral:rRNA from 1 species
AUACGGAGGAUCCGAGCGUUAUCCGGAUUUAUUGGGUUUAAAGGGUGCGCAGGCGGGAGAUUAAGUCGGCGGUGAAAUUUUGCAGCUCAACUGUAAAAGUGCCUUCGAAACUGGGUUCCUUGAGUGUAGAUGAAGUAGGCGGAAUUUGUGGGGUAGCGGUGAAAUGCAUAGAUAUCCCGAGGAACUCCGAUUGCGCAGGCAGCUUACUAAACUACUACUGACGCUCAGGCACGAAGGCGUGGGGAUCAAACAGGAUUAGAUACCCUGGUAGUCCACGCAGUAAACGAUGAUUACUAGCUGUUUGCGAUACAAUGUAAGCGGCUGAGCGAAAGCGUUAAGUAAUCCACCUGGGGAGUACGUUCGCAAGAAUGAAACUCAAAUGAAUUGGCGGGG